GUCAGGCUUGGACUUCGAUUGUGUGUGCUCCUUCGACGCAGAGGGAUUACAGGACGAGCCAGGCGUGAAUUAAGUUCUCUCUCAGCUGCCACAAGGGUCCUGAGCAGCUCUCCCAGAUGGUGCAAGAUAGCCGCUCUCCCACUUGCCGACACGUAACAGUCUUUGUUUCCAGCUGUGACAGGCAGAGGAUGGCAGCUAUUGGCUAGAGUUUCAAAUUUCAAACUUGAAUUCGAUCUUACUGUGGAGGGAGAUGUGGCCAGCGCGCCUGCAGGAGCAAAGGUCACCACCUCUGUUUAUGGUGCUGAGAACGAGCACCAUCGGAUAGGGGCGGGGCACGGGCUGACGGCGAGACACAGUUGGCAGUUAGCGGCCGGGAGCAGGGUGGGAGAGAGGAUACGGACGUGACUGAAAAGUCACGUUCUGCGGAAGAAAGACUUGGAUAAAAUCUAUGUGU